rnacentral:rRNA from 1 species
GUAGCUUGCUACUGACCUUAGCGGCGGACGGGUGAGUAAUACUUAGGAAUCUACCUAUUAAUGGGGGACAACGUUUCGAAAGGGACGCUAAUACCGCAUACGCCCUACGGGGGAAAGCAGGGGAUCUUCGGACCUUGCGUUAAUAGAUGAGCCUAAGCCGGAUUAGCUAGUUGGUGGGGUAAAGGCCUACCAAGGCGACGAUCUGUAGCGGGUUUGAGAGGAUGAUCCGCCACACUGGGACUGAGACACGGCCCAGACUCCUACGGGAGGCAGCAGUGGGGAAUAUUGGACAAUGGGGGGAACCCUGAUCCAGCCAUGCCGCGUGUGUGAAGAAGGCCUUAUGGUUGUAAAGCACUUUAAGCGAGGAGGAGGCUUACCUAACUAAUACUUAGGAUAAGUGGACGUUACUCGCAGAAUAAGCACCGGCUAACUCUGUGCCAGCAGCCGCGGUAAUACAGAGGGUGCAAGCGUUAAUCGGAAUUACUGGGCGUAAAGCGCGCGUAGGUGGCCAAUUAAGUCAAAUGUGAAAUCCCCGAGCUUAACUUGGGAAUUGCAUUCGAUACUGGUUGGCUAGAGUAUAGGAGAGGAAGGUAGAAUUCCAGGUGUAGCGGUGAAAUGCGUAGAGAUCUGGAGGAAUACCGAUGGCGAAGGCAGCCUUCUGGCCUAAUACUGACACUGAGGUGCGAAAGCAUGGGGAGCAAACAGGAUUAGAUACCCUGGUAGUCCAUGCCGUAAACGAUGUCUACUAGCCGUU